rnacentral:rRNA from 1 species
GGAGUUAGCCGGUGCUUCUUCUGUGAGUGAUGUCCUUCCUGCCGGCUAUUAACCCGCAGGCCUUCUUCCUCACUGAAAGUGCUUUACAACCCGAAGGCCUUCUUCACACACGCGGCAUGGCUGGAUCAGGGUUGCCCCCAUUGUCCAAUAUUACCCACUGCUGCCUCCCGUAGGAGUCUGGGCCGUGUCUCAGUCCCAGUGUGGCUGAUCAUCCUCUCAGACCAGCUACGGAUCGUCGCCUUGGUGAGCCGUUACCUCACCAACCAGCUAAUCCGACAUAGGCUCAUCCGAUAGCGCGAGGCCCGAAGGUCCCCCGCUUUCCCCCGUAGGGCGUAUGCGGUAUUAGCCUGGGUUUCCCCAGGUUAUCCCCCACUACCGGGCAGAUUCCUAUGCAUUACUCACCCGUCCGCCGCUCGCCACCAGGGAGCAAGCUCCCCGUGCUGCCGCUCGACUUGCAUGUGUUAGGCCUGCCGCCAGCGUUCAAUCUGAGCCAGAAUCAAACUCUGA